GACUUGGCUGUUUUAGAAGAUGUGAUGCAUUGGCCUCCCCCUGCAGGAGUUGGGAACGCGCAGAUUCCGCGAAUCACAGUUUUCAGAUAUGGCUGAAAUUGAUAACCCAAGUGAGCAGCUCAGGGAUCAGGACCUGAGGUUUUCAGCACAAACGACAAGAGGUUCAAGUAGAAAAGCAGGUAAGAAGCCCGUUCUAUGGAGCUGGUAUUUCUCUUCUCUCUCUCUCUCUCUCUUUUUGGGGAGCAGUAGCAAGGUUUAUUGUGAAGAGCGAAAGAACAAAGCUUCCACAGUGUGGAAGGAGACCUGAGCGGGUUGCGCCUCUUUUCUUUUCUUUUCUUUCUUUUUUUUUUUGAGAUAGAGUCUUGCUCUUGUCAGGCUGGAGUGCAGUGGCAUGACCUGGGCUCACCACAACCUUCACCUCCAGGGUUCAAGUGGUUGUCCUGCCUCAGGCUCCUGAGUAGCUGGGAUUACAGGCACCUGCCACCAUGCCUGGCUAAUUUUUGUAUUUUUAGUAGAGACAGGGUUUUGCCUGUUGGCCAGGCUGGUCUUGAACUCCUGACCUAAGGUGAUCCACCCUCCUUGGCCUCCCAAAGUACUGGGAUUACAGGUGUGAGCC
rnacentral:lncRNA from 10 species